rnacentral:sRNA from 1 species
CAAAUGAGUAGAACAAUUCUGUGUCAGAAUAUCUGGGAUACAUAAAAUAAGCCAGGUGUUAUAUGAUAAAGAAGAGCUGGGAAGAGUACUCUACACAGGAUGGUCCAAAAAAAGUUUUAUGUGUUAAACCAGAAUGAAGAAUGAGAAGAAGCCAAACAUGAUGGCGUAGGGGUAGAUGAGAAGCUGUCUUUACGACGGGUAGCUGUGGUUGAAGAUUUCUUUGACAUUAUUUAUUCAAUGCAUGUGGAAACGGGGCCAAAUGGAGAACAAAUUCGGAAACACGCUGGACAAAAGAGAACUUACAAAGCAAUUUCAGAGAGCUAUGCCUUCCUACCAAGAGAAGCGGUGACACGAUUUCUAAUGAGCUGCUCAGAGUGCCAGAAAAGAAUGCAUUUAAACCCAGAUGGAACAGAUCAUAAAGAUAAUGGAAAACCUCCCACUUUGGUGACCAGCAUGA